UCAGAUAACAUUUCGUUCAAAGUUAUGUACUUUGCAGAGUCUCUCUACAAUCUAUAAAUAGUGCAGUUGAGAAUCUUUGGAAAAAUUAGGGUUUAGGGUUUUUCAAUCCUAAACACUCAGGAGCUCUCUUCCAAUGUCCAAAUCCAAUGUUGUAAUUUCUUAGUUUCUUUCUGUAAUCUUCUUUCAUUCUUUCUGUAUUUCGGUGUUAUUUUAUUUUUUAUAAUAAGUUCAAUUUCUAGUAUUACUGUAGUUCAAUUUCUCAAUGUAAGCUAGCUUUGUUUAAGUAAUAGCAUUUGAAUGAAUAUUGAUUUUAUAAGUGUUCCAUUGAUUUUUUCUUUUAAUGAAGCAUAAUCUUCUUUUUUUUUUCGUUAUAAUGUGGUUACAAAUCUUAUUCUUGAUGUUACCAAUAAUUUGUUGUAUGGGUAUGUUUUAGGCAGAAAUUAGUUCUCUCAAUGAAGUUAAGAAUUCGAUGCAGUAUUAUUAGAGAGCAUUGGGUUCAGGCCUGGAGUAAAGGUUUGUAAGUUCUGAUCUUGCUGUGAAUUUCAAGUUCCUUGGUUGAAAGAUCGGGUAUUUUUCAAUGAUACAAUCCACAAUAUUCGUUAUGGACGGCUAUCUGCAUCGGAGCAAGAGCUAUCCAUGGUACUAUUAUGAAUUCCGGAGCAAUAUAAAUCUAUGGCCUGUGAACCUGGACUUAAGUUAAGCGGUGCCGAAAAGCAGUGGGUGGCCCUUGCUCGUGCAUUUAGAAAGUACCAGCUAUCUUAUAUACAUGAUAUCGAGGAGCCAACAUCUAAAUACAGUGUUUGCUGCAUUUAAGCCUGCCUUCUUCUUCGACAAAUUCAGAUGUCUCUGGUCCUUAUAAAUAUAUGAUGAUCUCAUUGCUUCCAAAUAAUCCAACACAAAAGGGAUAAUCUUCCUGGCAAUACUCAAAGAAGGGCGUCUGAGAUUCAUAGUCCAGCUGAUAACGGUUAUGUGAUGAGGCUACAGCCUAUAAGUGCUCUUUAUAAUCAACAGAAGCUGAGAUACAUCGACUUACCACUGCAGUGCAGUGCUAUGAGAUUAUUGUUUUGGAGAAUGGAACGGUGAUUGAACAAGGUCACUAUGAUGCUCUGUUGUUAAGAGCAUGAAGAUACACACAGCUAUGGGGACAACAAAAUAACACUAUUGAUGGAAGAGAUUCAACCGUUAAACUAGAGGCUUGAGAAUGAUCUGUUCACUUUUUCCAGUAUGUAAAUGUAGCUUCGGUAGAAGUGGGAAUGGAGCUACUCGUUGAAUCUCAUCCGGCCUCUCUACACUUGUAUCAGAGAUAGAAGAGUAAAUAGUGCCUCUCUGUGGUUCAUAGGAAUUGAGCACUCCCUGGCUGAGUCUUUUUGUCCUCCUGCUGUAUCAGAGAUACAAAAAUGGAAUAGUGCGUCUCUAUGUCGUCUCCUGUCCUUGUUUCGGUGGUGUUUUUCUGUAUGUAGAGAUUUGUUGUUUUAUUUUUCCAGUUCAAAAUAUGAAAAAUAGUGUACGACUCAUUUGUCAAACAAAGCAUAUAUCUUGCCAUAUGUUAUUUGGUUCCUGUUAGCUUUGUUUGGCAAAAGUUAAAGAAGCUAAGCUGGGACGGUAUAUUUUGCAUAACACAAGACAAGACUGAACUAAAUUAACUGGAAAUACAUCUCCCUGGAGUUCCAGUUACAUAACUCGUGCCUUUACUAGGCUGAAGAAAACAAAUUUCAGGUCAUCAUCACUACAUAAAUUGAUGUGAUUACUUGCCUGAAGAAAACAACAUAUAUUAUAUAUACCCACUAAUAUACAGACAAAAGACGAAACAGAAAUCUAAUUCUCAAAUGCAAGACUAUAGCACGCAAAGCAGGAGAAACUUUAGAAUCUGCCGUUCCAUACUCAACCGAAAACCCGUGUUACUAGCAGUAC